rnacentral:misc_RNA from 1 species
CUGUCAGUGUCUGCUAGAGGGUCCCUCGGAACGAAACGUCAAAUCGUACGUCAAAUGGAGAAAUGUCAGAAAUCAGUUGACCAUCAGAAGUCGUCACUUUAGGAGACUCUAGGUUACAUUGUACAAUAUUUCACUCUCUUCUUAGCAAACUGUGCAACAUGAACGAUUAUGGGAUUCCGAUGAUCGAACCUACCGUUGACUUUACUAAGGUCCCGCCGAUUCAUCAAAAAAGAACUAUAACGUUCGUUAAUCAUUUUAUUGUACAUACAGUAACAUUUUUGAACAAGUUCGCUCUAUCCUGCGAGGAAAAACUGUUUGAGUUUGAAAAUAAAUUGCAAAAAGUUGAAGCGUCGCUAGGAAUCCUUGAAUCUAGGCUCGCGUCGAUACCAGAGAUUGACUUUCCAACAAAGACAGAGUCUUCACCAAUCACUGAAUCAAGUGAUCAAGAACAGAAAACGGUGGAACAAGACCAGACAAAUGAGAUUGAAGCGGUGAAAGCUGAGUUGAUUGAUGAAAAAAGUGAAAUUAGUAACACGCAACCCAUCAGUAAAGAUCCACGAUAUGCAAAAUUCUUUAAAAUGCUUCAGUUUGGCGUACCUGCGCAGGCUGUCAAAUUGAAAAUGAAACAAGAGGGUCUAGAUCCACUUUUGCUAGAGGGCUAUGUACUGGGAUAGGCUGAAAUGCUGUUACAAAAAUGUCAAACAAUCUUCAUAGACCUGCUGUAGCCUUCUUUUCAGUUUGUCAAUCCUGAUCAGUUGGUUCCAAUAACGGAAAUAGUUGAGACAAAUACAACUACUGAUGAGGAUGAUGCUUGAUAAUAAACUGAAGAGUAAAGGAAGUAUGCAUAUGAAACAGUAAGGUACAAAGAGUAUUCACAGCGCUCACGAAGUAAAAUAUUUGUCAUGUUGGAAAAAUUUUGACAGACCCAGUUGAUAGAAAAGAAAAGAAAACGUAAUAUAUGCAUUGUUGUUUGAUAUAACCAUUUAGUAAAUAAACACAUUUCAAAUCUUGAACGAUUUAUUUUAUUUUUUUGUUUGUAUAGUUACAAUCUUAAACGCAAGGUUUAGAACUGGAUCAUCUGGCCCUGUAAAUAGAAAACAAAAUAUUCUGCAAUUGGUUACUGGUUUAAAUUAAUUUUUAUGCGUGUUACUUCCAUUCGGUUUAGGUGCGUUAGUUGUGGGUAAAAUUCCUAGGGACAAAUAUCUCAAACUCUCAUCAGACUAAUAUCGAUAAAUGUUUCAAUCGCUUUUGAAAUAUCACCAUAUGGAAUUUCGAGACUUGUUUCAGAUUAUUUAAAUGGCACAAAGACUUAAACAAGUUUGAACUGUUUGGAAUCAAUUUCCACACAUCUCAGCACCGAAUAUAAAACGAUCUAGAUGCACUAGGUUUUGAAAAACCCACCUUCCUCUUCUUAUCACCUCCCAGCUCGAAAUGUUUGCAACGUUUAAGUGGGAUUUGCUUUCUGUACUUGCACUCAGUGCAUUCCAUCCUUAGCACAAUUUUCUUGGUUGUCUUAGC